CUGCCCUUUAUUCUCACAUUUUCACAAACCCUAUUUCAUUCUUCUUCUUCACCUUUCCAUACAAGAUCCCCUUUCUCUCUGUUGUUCAUCCUUCUCCUUCUUCACAUUUUCAUCUCAUCAACAACGUCUGGAAGAGGUUACAUCUAUUGGAUACAUCUGCGUUUGAAACCCUAAAUCAUGUGCCGUCGAGUAGUUGAAGAACAGAAUAAUCAUAAGAAGAAGAAGCUCUCCUAGAGUUUCUUAUCGUAUACAAUGAUCCCUUUUGUACAAGCUCCUGUUAAUCGGUGACCCUGAAGUAACCUCUGCCGGAUGGUUGUUGAGGAGUUGGAAAUGUGAAAGAGAAGGAGAAUGACAGUAAAUUCAUUGUUGGAUUGUUUAUGUAGUUAACUAAAUUGGUAUUUGUAACAUUUUGAUUUACUAUUUAUUGAUGCAUUGAUUCAUUUGUAAUCACUUGCAGAUCACAAGUCAUCUUAAUUUGAGUAAUUAAACGGAGUUUUCUUAAAUAGCACGAUAACUUUCGUUCAUUAAUCCAUGCAUUUGUUAAUUCCUCAUGUUUUUUUAUUCUUAAUUCUUGAUUCUGUUUUAGGUACACUUUUUGUUGUUAGUUCCAUGUGUUUAUUUCAGAUUAAUUGUUGCUAUAUAUAUAUAUAUAUUGGUUUUGUUUUGAUGAAAAGGGAAAACGUUCGAGCCGUUUCAUCCAAGAACCGAAGAAAAGAUAUCGGAUAUUGCUAAAGGAGAUUAAGAUGAUGUUGAUCUGGCUGUUGAAGCCGCACGUUGAUCCACAAUAAGCACUGCCCAUCUAAGUUUCCUCCAAUGACAGUGGUUAUAACAGGUUAAUAAGGCAAAACACUGAUCUGCCUAACAACUGUUGAAUAUAAAGACUGUUGUACACAAAGACUGAUGAGGAUUAUCCACUGUUGAAGACCAAAGCACGCAUGAAGACCAAAGCUCUGUUGAAGACAAGCACUGAUGAACCAAAGGUCUGAUCACCCAAAGGUGAACCACUGCCCAACAACAACAGUGGUUCAGCAUCAACAAUAGUUAUUCUACCUUUGUUUAUGUUAACAGUGUUUGUAUGUAACAGUAUUUAUCA